rnacentral:lncRNA from 1 species
GCGGUUCCCGUGCCCGGCCGUGUCCGCAGUCCCGGUCACACGUAUCCGGGUUUCACCGACAGCCGGCGGCAGUUGGGGCAGCCCCGCGUCCCGUUGGUCUGCAGGCACUUCAAGUGGAAGAAGUGGGAGCAAGGCAGCGCCUGCAGUUGGUUGUUCUUCUCCCCAAUAGACUCUCCACACAUGCCACAGUACAGCUCCAUCUCCUCCACGCAUUCAUGGAACUUCACUACAUGGUCACGCAAUUCUCGCUGCAGCCCCUUUGUGCGAUAGAUCCUUUCACACAGACAGUGGAGCUUCAGCAGACCCAGCUUGUUCCCUAGUCCCUCUGCC